ensembl:lncRNA
GCCCCAGGGGCUGGGUCCAGCAGAGGGUCCCCCCUGGGUUGGGCACAGUUCCCAGCUCACGAUGGAGGCAGCAGCAGGGUCUGACCCAGGAGGAAGAUCAUGCAGAGACCGAGCUAGAGCAGCCUCACGUCUCUGAGCGAGAACCGGACCCUUCUGCACCCAUCAGCUACCGCCCCCCACUCCCGAGGGCCCAGAACCACGACUCGGCCAGGAUCCAGUUCUCUCUGCUGCCCCUUAACCAGAGAAACCUGCAAAGCCAACCACGUGUGGAGCCUGUGUCACAGGGAAACAGGUCCCUCAGCAGGAAGUGAAUCGCAUUCACUGCCGUGUUAAGUCUGCUGCCUGCAGUCCGUUCUCUCCAUUGUGUCCCUUACAAAAGCCCCCAGUUGCUGGGGCUCCAGCGCCCUGGCUGCACAAGGGAGAGGUUGAUAUCGAGGGAGCGACAUACCUGCUGUUUCCCAACAAGACAGUCUCCUAGUUCAGAGAUCCCCAACUCUGCCCAGAAACCCUGACCGAGAGGAUAGACUUUCCCUCCCAAAAGAGCUGGGGGGACCCCACAUCUGACGGGAAAGGCCACCCCCACAUUUCAGGGGGCACAGCGUAGAGCAAAGAUACUACUGUGGUGGGUGACACAGACAAAGAAAUGUAGCUACAGAGUGGAGAAGUCCAGCUCAAAGAACAGAAUUAUUCAGGCUGAAUCAUUCAGGAUUUGGGUUUCUACUUCUAAAUUUGAGACAGCAAAUGUAAGCAAAAUUAAUGUUCAAAACGCUGUUUUUAGUACUGAAAGAGACUUUAAUGUACAAUCAUGCACGAUUAAGAUUCUAUAUGCAUCCGAAGAAGUGGGCUGUAGUCCACGAAAGCUUAUGCUCUAAUAAAUUUGUUAGUCUCUAAGGUGCCACAAGUACUCCUGUUCUUCUUUUUAAGAAAAUAUACAUGAUCUUUAAUAGCAACCUGGCUGAAGUACAUAUUGUGACAGCACUAGAUUUUAUAUGAACUUGCAAUAUGUCAAGAAUUUCUAAUUUCUUUGUCUUCUGCUUUUCUGAUUUGAAAAACCAUUUCAAUCUACUUCAGAAGUUGUUGUUGCAUCCAUACUAGAGACUCAGUCUUUCACACACAAAGAAAGCAACUGUACUAUUUGUAUAGAUUCUUCAUAUUAUAUUAUGAAAAAUAUUGUCUUAUAAGCUCACAAACUUUUUUUUUUGGUAAGUCAUUAGUAAUUGAUAUUUAUGAGCUGCUUCUCUUCUCAUUUCCACUGGUAUAAAUCCUGAGUUGCUCCAUCAAAACCAAUGGAGCAGAUCCUCAACUGAUGUAAAUCAGUGGAACUCUGGUUUUUGGUGUUUUUGUUUUGUUUUUGGUUUGAGAUAUGCUAAUGUACAGUAGCUGAGGAUCUGGCCAAGUGGCAUUAUAACAAUGUAAUGCUAUUGAGAGAGGAGAAUCAAGCCCUUGAAUACAGUCAGCAUUGACACUUAAAAACUCUUCCCCCUUUUUUUAAGCUAUCAAGUACUAUGAGGUUGCAUAUAAUUGCAAGGCCUGCUUAGCACAAGUAUACUUGGAGAAUAUUGUAGGAGAUAUAUAAAAGGAUCAAGCCUUCAUUAAGAUUAGGUGCCUAAAGAUGAAGUUAGACAUUUUGAAAAUCCCACCAGGUCAAGGGUAUGAAUCCAGCUGAGGUUGCAGGCCAGUAAAUAGUCCCGUUCAGUUCCAUAAGAAUAUUCAGGUGAACAAGGGUUUGCAGCAUCAGGCCCUAGGUUCAGUCCCACGUUCUUGUUAAACUGGCACUCCCAGCAAAGAGAGAGAAGUGUGAAUCAAGAAGAACAAGAUAUCUCAUGGCUGGGAGGCUCCACUGCACAGUUGAGGCACAUUGGUUAGGGCAACAUGCACUGCCGUUGCUCCCCCUGUCUGUUUGUUAGAUCCACCUUUUGUCUAAUAUGUAGACUGUAAGAUCUUUGGGGUAGGGACUGUAUGUUAUAGAUGUGUACAUUGCUUAGCACAAUUGUCUGGUGUAAGUGCUACUGUAAUACAAAUAAAUAACAUUUACAACAUUACUUCA